AAAGUCUAAAGGUGAAUCUUGUCCAGUCUCUUGGAAUCAAUCUCCCACAUUCACUAAGGUGGAACUUACAAUUUACAAAAACUGUCAUCAGAACUUUAUCCAUAGUUUCCAUCAGAACAUCCCUCCAGAGAACAGUUAGAAGGACACCAUGACUCAGCAAUCUGACUGUCUGAUCCACACAAUGACACCAGGACUUUUCAUUCUGAUCCACUGACAUGUUCAUUGACACAGAUAUUUACUUUGGAGAGAUGAACUAAGGAUUUUCAGCCAGAGAGUCUUAAGCAGGUAAUCCAUGAUGUUUUGCUGUUUGUACGAAUUGUUUUGAGAAAUGCACUUAGUGUUUUGCAAAUGUCGAGGAUGAUUUGAGAAAUGUACCAAAGCGACUGAGAAAAACUGUAAAAUCUGCUAGGAACCAAAAGCCUGAGACGCUAAGCUUCCGCUCGGCUGUAUUUUGCAGUGACACACUUUCAAAAUGGCGUCCAGUGAACCACCGGUGUGUCAGAUUUUCUCUUUCCAGGACUCUAAAACUUCUCCAGACCCGAUCUUUGAGCUCCCCGCUCAGUGUCUGACCCAGACAGGGGUCCCCAUAGUGGUGGAUAACGGCUCCUUUCAGACCCGGGCCGGCUGGGCAUCUACCGGGGCCGGGUUCGAGUCCCCGCGGCUCCUCUUCAGGUCGGUGGCGGCCCGCAGCAGAGGAGCCGCCCGGAGCGAGACCCAGAUCGGGAACGACAUACCGAACCUGGAGCCGCUGCGGUGGCUGCUGAAGAGCCAGUUCGACCGGAACGUGGUGGUGAACCUGGAGAUCCAGGAGCUGAUCUUCGACUACGUGUUCACUCACCUGGGCAUCACCUCGGAGGGCAGCGUUGAACACCCCGUCGUGCUGACAGAAGCUCCCUGCAACCCGCUGCACUGCCGACAGAUGAUGUCCGAGCUGCUGUUUGAGUGCUACCGGGUCCCUUACGUCUCCUACGGUGUGGACAGCUUGUACAGUUUCUACCACAACCACUCUCAGAGGAGGCUCCAGCCGCCACACACCGGCAUCAUUCUGUCCUCAGGGUACCACAGCUCUCACAUCCUGCCGGUCGUCAACGGCAGGUUGGAUGCGGUGAACUGUAAGCGUGUGAACGUGGCUGGGAGCCAGGCGGCCUCCUACCUGCAGCGCCUCCUGCAGCUGAAAUACCCCGGUCACCUCGCUGCCAUCACCCUCAGCCGCAUGGAGGAGCUGCUGCAUGAGCACAGUUACACCGCUGUGGAUUAUCAUGAAGAGCUGGAAAAGUGGCGCAGCCCGGAGUUUUAUGAGCGUGAAGUUCACCGUAUUCAGCUUCCCUUUUCGAGUAAGGUUCCAGGUGGAUGUGUGAGUGUGGAGGAGAGGCAGGAGAGAAGAGCUCAGCAGCUUCGUAGACUUCAGGAGAUUAAUGCUCGUCGUCGAGAGGAGAAGCUGCAGCAGGACCAAGAGAGGCUGGACAGACUGAUGGCAGUACAGGAGCUGCUGGAGGACGGCCUGUUGGAUCAGUUCCACAAGAGCCUGGUGCACCUCAACAUGGACUCAGCAGAAGAACUGCAGUCCUACAUCAACAAGCUGCAGCUGGCUGUAGAGCAGGGCAGACAGAAACUGCUGCACAGCGACGGAGCAGAGGGGAGGACGGAGGUGUCUGAGCUGGAGCAGCCGAUGGACGAAGGAGAUGGAGUGGUGCUGAUGGAUUCUGACUUCCCUGAGGACACGCUGCCGGAAAAACCCACUAAUGUGGUUCAGCCCGUGUUCAACAUGGCCGAGUACCACCAGCUGUUUGUGGGGACGGAGCGUCUGCGGUGUCCAGAGAUCCUGUUUCAGCCAUCGCUCACUGGAGAGGACCAGAUGGGACUGAUGGAGACGCUGCAGUACGUCCUGGCCAGGUACACUCCGGAGCAGCAGGAGGCGCUGGUGAGCAACGUGUUUCUGACUGGGGGGAACAUGCAGUAUCCAGGGAUGAAGGAGAGAGUGGAGAGAGAACUUCUGGCCAUGAGGCCGUUCCAGUCACAGUUCAAGGUAACCAUGGCGACGCGGCCGGCGCUGGACUCCUGGUUCGGAGCCCGGGACUGGGCCCUGGAGCACCCGGCCGGAGGAUCAGAGGGCUGGAUCAGCCGGCAGGAGUACGAGGAGAAAGGAGGCGAGUAUCUGAGCGAACACUGCGCCUCCAACGGCUUCCUUCCCAUGAAGAUCGUUAAACCCGUCCUCGCCCGCCCUGCCGAGCCGCCCGUCACCUCACAGACGUCAGCCGGAGCUUCUCCUGCCGUCGCCACGGUUACAUCAACCCCCUCCUCCUCUGUCGCUGCUGACGUCACCAUGGUUACCUCCUAAGAGUUCCUGAAGUGUUUACCUUCAGUUCGACUCCCAGCAUGCAUUUCAAGGAGCUCAGGUAGGAUCAGAUGAGAGCAAUUCUCAUUUUCCACUAGGACCUGGCAAGAGGCCCCAGCAGGAAGAAAGACAACAAAUAAACAAUACAUACACAAAAAAAGGACGCACAAGUGUUUAAACAGACUGAAAACAGCCUAAAUUAAUGCAGCAGUUCAGUGAAAACAGUCAACAUGUCAGCGGUCAGCUAAGAUUUGCUGUAGCACCUGAUAAUCCUCCUGUUGUCCUCAUUAACAGGCACCAAUAAUGUUGCUUCCUUGUUUGAAAAAAAUCCAAAAAUUCAGCAAAAAAAAUUCCCCAAAUUUCUGAAAAUUUGCAAAACCUUCAGGAAGAAAAUUCCAAUAAUUCCUUCAAAGUUUCCGUUAAAAGUUUUAUUUUUAAAAAAAAGUCCCCCAAAUUUGGCAAGAAAAUUCUUGUAAAUAUUUUUCAAAAAAUGAGUAAAAAUCUUCAAAAGCUCCUAAAAAUAUCUAAAAUGAUUCCAUAUAUAUCAGUAAAACUUCUAAUAUUUAGGGUUAGGGUUAUCAACCCAAAUCAACCAAAAUCCAGCAAAUUUCGCUGGAUUUUGGUUGAUUUUAAUGUGAAUAUUCUUUAAGAAAUAUUUCUUUUACCAUUUUUUUCCACCAAAAAAUGUUCAGAAAUUUCCCAAAAGUGUUGAAAAUGUGGACAUCAGAAGUUUCACUGUGAAAAUAUUUUCUUUUUCUGCAUUUUCAAACUUUAAACUGGAUCAAUUUUGACCCGCACGACGACACAAGGUUUAAAUACAUUAAAUAUUUGUGGAGUUGCAGUUUCCUGUUGCACCACUGGGUGGCGUAGGUGAACAUAAAAUCCAAUUAUUCUGUCUUUAUUCUUACAUUGUUAUACUGCAUUCAAUUGACCUCUAAAUUAAAUAUUUGUUCUACAUUUUCUUUAAAGAGAGCUUUUUCUAUCAAACUGGAAAAAACACAUUUUUAUUAACGGUAGAAUUUUUAAUAGUUUAAUUUUUAUGUUUUAUGAAUGCCAGUUGAACAAAAAGUUGUCUUCAUGUUUACCCUGCUAACCUGUAAAGCCACCGUUGAAUUGGUUUAAUGUUCAUGUGAGAGCAGUUUAUUAAUCACAAUGAGUUUUAUUUUUUCCACAUCUGAUCUGAAGCUGUUGAAUCGGUGUGAGAAGCUGUCAGCUGUCCUUCAGGCUGAGCUCUGGUCCUCGUUCUGAACCCAGCAGACAUCUGCCCUCUAAUAGCAUUAUGUGGCGUUAAACUGGAGCUUCAAACCUUCUGCUUUCACUCAAACGACGGCGUGGCGACCAGACGCACUCACUGAGGGCUAAUCAGAGCCAACACAGGCCUCAGACUGCAGGCUGAUUGGCUCAAAUUUAACAAGAGGGAUUAAAAAGAAGAAAAAAAAAACACAACAAGGCGAUCUUUUAUGUGUAGAAGGGAGUAAGCAGGAUUUAUUACUAUGGCUACGCUGCAUUUCCACGAGGCUUUAGGGCAAGAAAACAACAGAUAAGGGGUGUUUUCUGCCUUCUUUUUUCAUAUUUAGCUUUCCAUUUGUGUGACUUUUGGUUUGUGUGACACCACAGACGAGCAGGGGUGUCCAACAUGAGGCCCGCGGGCCAAAAGCGGUCCUCCAGAGGGUUCAAUCCGGCCCUCAAAGUGUAAAAAUUCCAGAGAAGACAUUAACUGUAGAUUGUAAAUUAAUAAAACUAUAAAUUUAAGAUCAUUUCUAGACCAUGACAAGUUGUUUUGAUCAUAAAGUAAAAUCCUAUAUGGUUCAGUUCCAGUUGUCUUAAAAGAGGUUUUGGUCCCCGUCGGUCUUCUGUGGCCUGAUUUUUCUGACCUCUUGGCUCAAAUUCAGCAUCAAAUAACAGACGUGCUGCCAUUCUGUGCCCACAUUUAUCCACGUUCAUGUCUGCCUUCACCUCACCUGGACAUGUUUGGAAUCUGCUGCUGGGAACAAUGAACGUCAUCAUUAUGUGGGGUUUUGCUGCAGGUGCAGCAUGCAGAUGGUGUGUAUUUUUAAACAAGCCUGCUCUCUCUGUGUUGUGCCACAGGGUUGGCCGGUGUCCAAUUAGGAGGAUUUGUGUGAGCUGCAGCGCUGUAGGUCAGCAGGAACACCCAUAGACUGUAUGUAAAGUCUGUGGGAGCACCAGGCAGGGCUGAGCUGGUGUCACGCUGUCCAGUGGUGGAGGGGAAGGAAAAAUAAUGACCCGGAGCUGGAGGUGUGACACAUGAAGACUUAUUUUAUUUAUUUACUUUUUUUAAUGGCUGGAUCGUCUCAUUUUAUUUUAUUUUUCCUGUUUAAAACUUGUCACUGUCACAAAUUCUAAAUUCGGUACAGAGACGUCUUCAUGGCUGCAAAAAAAAAAAAAACACUGAACAAAAAAAACAGCCUGUUAGGAGGAGAUCCUGUUGGCAUAAUGUGUGAUUCUAUAAUAGUUUGUUGCAGACAACUUCACCAUUUCUGCCCCUGAAUCCUCCUAAAUUCUCUUUAGAGGGUGUGGAAGUGGAGCGUACACUCCAUUGCUAAGCAUUUAAAAAAUAAAUCUUACAGACAUAAACUAAA